rnacentral:hammerhead_ribozyme from 1 species
AGCUCACUGAUGAGUCUUUUGUAGACGAAACGCGCGUCUGGCGU